rnacentral:rRNA from 1 species
AACGAGGAAUUCCUAGUAAACGCAAGUCAUCAGCUUGCAUUGAUUACGUCCCUGCCCUUUGUACACACCGCCCGUCGCUCCUACCGAUUCCGAGUGAUGAGGUGAACCCUCCGGACUGGCUCACCCUGGGAAGUUGAGUAAACCUUAUCACUUAGAGGAAGGAGAAGUCGUAACAAGGUAUCUGUAGGUGAACCUGCAGAUGGAUCAUUA